rnacentral:rRNA from 1 species
GGCGGCGUGCUUAACACAUGCAAGUUGAACGGAGACUUUUUCAGUGCAACCUUCGGGGAGCAGGAGAAAGUUUAGUGGCGGACGGGUGAGUAACGCGUGGGCAACCUGCCUCGCACCGUGGGAUAACAGGGGGAAGCUCCUGCUAAUACCGCAUAAAGUAUAUAGACGCAUGUCAAUAUACAAAAAGGGAUACCGGUGAGAGAUGGGCCCGCGUCCGAUUAGAUAGUUGGCAGGAUAGCAGCCUACCAAGUCAACGAUCGGUAGCCGGCUUGAGAGAGUGGACGGCCACACUGGGACUGAGACACGGCCCAGACUCCUACGGGAGGCAGCAGUGGGGAAUAUUGGACAAUGGGGGCAACCCUGAUCCAGCGACGCCGCGUGAGUGAAGAAGUAUCUCGGUACGUAAAGCUCUAUCAGCA